GACGAACGCUGGCGGCGUGCUUAACACAUGCAAGUCGAACGGAAAGGCCCUGCUUGCAGGGUACUCGAGUGGCGAACGGGUGAGUAACACGUGGGUGCUCUGCCCUGCACUUCGGGAUAAGCCUGGUAAACUGGGUCUAAUACCGUAUAGGAGCCAUUUUUAGUGUGAUGGUUGGAAAGUUUUUUCGGUGUAGGGUGAGCUCGCGGCCUAUCCGCUUGUUUGUGGGGUAAUGGCCUACCAAGGCGGCGACGGGUAGCCGGCCUGAGAGGGUGGACGGCCACAUUGGGACCGGGAUACGGCCCAGACCCCCACGGGGGGCAACAGUGGGGAAAAUUGCACAAUGGGCGCAAGCCUGAUGCAGCGACGCCGCGUGGGGGAUGACGGCCUUCGGGUUGUAAACUCCUUUCGCUAGGGACGAAGCUGUUUGUGACGGUACCUAGAUAAGAAGCACCGGCUAACUACGUG
rnacentral:rRNA from 1 species